rnacentral:rRNA from 1 species
AGCGAACGCUGGCGGCAGGCCUAACACAUGCAAGUCGAACGGAUCCUUCGGGAUUAGUGGCGGACGGGUGAGUAACACGUGGGAACGUGCCCUUUGGUUCGGAACAACUCAGGGAAACUUGAGCUAAUACCGGAUGUGCCCUUCGGGGGAAAGAUUUAUCGCCAUUGGAGCGGCCCGCGUCUGAUUAGCUUGUUGGUGAGGUAACGGCCCACCAAGGCGACGAUCAGUAGCUGGUCUGAGAGGAUGAUCAGCCACACUGGGACUGAGACACGGCCCAGACUCCUACGGGAGGCAACAGUGGGGAAUCUAGCGCAAUGGGCGAAAGCCUGACGCAGCCAUGCCGCGUGAAUGAUGAGGGUCUUAGGAUUGUAAAAUUCUUUCAGCGGGGACGAUAAUGACGGUACCCGCAGAAGAAGCUCCGGCUAACUUCGUG